rnacentral:rRNA from 1 species
AGCAGCCGCGGUAAUUCCAGCUCCAAUAGCGUAUAUUAAAGUUGUUGCAGUUAAAAAGCUCGUAGUUGAAUUUCGGGGUCAGCAGGUUGGUCGUGCCAAUGGUAUGCACUGGCCUUGCCGAUUCCUCCCUCUUGAUGAGCCGUAAUGCCAUUAAUUUGGUGUUGCGGGGAAUCAGGACUGUUACUUUGAAAAAAUUAGAGUGUUUAAAGCAGGCAAGCGCUUGAAUACAUUAGCAUGGAAUAAUGAAAUAGGACGUUUGAUCCUAUUUUGUUGGUUUCUAGGAUUGACGUAAUGAUUAAUAGGGAUAGUUGGGGGCAUUAGUAUUCAAUUGUCAGAGGUGAAAUUCUUGGAUUUAUUGAAGACUGACUACUGCGAAAGCAAUUUGCCAAGGAUGUUUUCAUUAAUCAAGAACGAAAGUUAGGGGAUCGAAGACGAUCAGAUACCGUCGUAGUCUUAACCAUAAACUAUGCCGACUAGGGAUCGGAUGAUGUUAAUUUUUAAUGACUCAUUC